UGAAUUUCUGGGCUCAAGUAAUCCUCCUCCCUCAGUCUCCCUAGUAGCUAAGACUACAGGCACAUACCACCAUGCUUGGUUCCAUGCAGUUCUAAGAUACUAAUAUAUUAAUAGAAAACUGCACAUAUACCUUUUUAUUCUCUCCCACAGCAGGUAGUUGAACUCCAUUAACUAGCAGACUGGUCAAUUGUUCUGAUACAAAAUCCUUUCUUAAGUGGACAUUAAUAAAACCUAAUGGAUAGAAGAGAAAAAAAUAUCUGAUAGUGUCUUAUCUUGAAUAAUCACUCACUCCUAAGGAUUUGCUCCAGACGCUGACCUGGCUCUGGCAAAAUUCUUCAGGAUUCCAAUACCAGUUGUGGCCUUGACUUAAGCUGUCUUGUAAGCUUCUGUCUCACCGUCUACUUCAAGCCUUCACGCUUCUCCUAAAAGCUUCCUACUUAACUCAGGGCCCUUUCCCUUUCAGCCUCUCAAGAGAAAACAGAAGGCCCUUGUGCUGAAGACUUAUCUGCCAUUAUCUAUCCUCAUUUUGCUGAUGAAAAACUGAAUCACAGAGAGGCAAAGUAACUCAUUCAAGGGACCCUGCCGCCCCACUCUGAGACGACCAGGAUGGUCCUCGUCUAGCUGUCCCGCCCCCGAAGCCGCUUGGGCAGAAGCCAGAGCCUGUUCCAUCUCUUUCAGGCUUUCCCGCCGGUCUCCUGCGUCCAAACCUGCUGCAGCAGCCGCGCGGAGCACCGAGAAACCAAUCCGUCCAUCCUCCCGUCAGCGUCUCACUCGCCAAGUGGACGGAAGCGGAAACGGUCAGUCUCUCCCGGAAGCGGAAACCCCCUCCGGUCCGCUGUCCCGCCGGACUGGGUGCUGGCGCCUCUGCUGCCUCCUGGCGGGAUCCAGGAGACACUGCGGGGAGAACCCGCGAGGGUGUCGUCCGGGAGCAAGGCUGCAGCUCAGGGACAUUUCGGCGAGGGGAGAGGAAUUGAGCAGAGACGAGCCAGAGCUGCACUGUGCUUGGAUAGACUAGGACAGGCGCUGACCUAGAGCUUCUGGCUCUCAAAGGCCUCACUUUGCCCCUCUAUGAAAUGGGCACAAAACUAACAAAUCCAUUCAUUUGUUCAACAAGCAUUUAUUGUGUACUUUAAAAUGCCAGACACUAUUCUAGGCUCUGGGGGCAGAGAGAAAACAAAACAGACAAGAUCUCCCCUCUCAUGGCAGAUACAUUUUAGAAUGGAGAGAUAAAAUAGACGAAAAAAGGCAAUAAAUCUCAGGUAGUUUUAAUGGCUAGGAAGGCAAUGUGAUACAGUGACUUGGGUCAGAGAAGACAUCUCUAAGCAAGUGACAUUUAAGUUAAAAUCUUAUUUAUUUUUCCAGUUUUAUUGAGGUAUAAUUGACGAAUAAAGAUUGUAUAUCAUAACAAUGUA